rfam:Picoides pubescens contig86236, whole genome shotgun sequence.
AUACUCUGGUUUCUCUUCAGAUCAUAUAAAUCUUUCGCCUUUUACUAAAGAUUUCCAUGGAGAGAAACACCCUGUUUUGGAGAAGAG